GGGAAAACAGACCAAAAUUCCCUUUCAGUGCUAUAGCUAGCAAGGCUGCAGACGUCACUUGACCCCAGGAACAGGGCCAGCAGCUAGCUGAGCUAACCUCCUGUCUGUUUCCUCCUCCCUCAGGCGUAUCAGUCACCUCCAGCAACACGGGCGUGCCAGAUAUCUCUGGAUCUGUGUACUCCAAAACCCAGGUAGGUGCCCGGCUCUGGACAGAAGUAGAAAAAGAGAGAGACAGAGAUGUGGUGGCUGAGGAUCGAACCCAGUGCCUCACAUGUGCGAGGCAGGUGCUCUUCCAUUCAGCCCCAGCCCCCACACUACCUUUUUUAAAUGGUCUCUAGAUUUCAGUUUUUCUAGGAGUUUGAAUUUAGCUCUCUGAGAAGAAACCACAAAGAUGAAUAGGAAGCCAGGUGUGCUAAAAGGCCUGUAAUCCCAGUGACUCAGAGCCUGAGGUAGAAGGAUUGAGAGUUCAAAGCCAGCCUCAGCAACUUAGCAACUGAGUGAGACCCUGUCUCUAAAUAAAAUACAGAAAAGGGCUGGGGAUGUGGCUCAGUGGUUAAUUGCCCCUUAGUUCAAUCCCAGGUACCAAAAAAAAAAAAAAAAGAAAUAGGAAGGUGAGGUGUGGUACAUUGUUAUAAUGUGAUGUGGGUUAUUGUGCAGUUGUCCUGGCUUUUUUGCCCAGGGGCAGGGAUGCCAAGGAUAGUUAGCAAAUUUUCCUGUUUAUGUACAACGCUAGUUAAUUUCACAUUCAUCCUUCUGUUUGAUCCCUACAACAGAGAGGUCAGUAGCAUCCCUGUUUCAAGUAUGAGGCAACUAAGGCUGAGAGAUUGGUAUUUUCCCAGGAUUGGGUAGCUGUUAAAAGGGCAAGAGUUGGGACUGAGACUUUUAUAUCUGACUCGAGAUAUUCUGUUCCUUCUGACUAUGCUGUUUUCUGAGGGUGGGGGAGCUUUGGCUCAGAAAUUCCCAGGAUUCCUUUGCUGAUACCUUUUAUUCUUUCUCCUUCUUUCUUCCUGGACAGCAGUCCUUUGAGAAACAAGGUUUUCAUUCCGGUACUCCUGCUGCCUCCUUCAACUUGCCUUCAGCCCUAGGAAGUGGGGGGCCCAUCAAUCCGGCCACAGCUGCUGCUUACCCACCUGCCCCCUUUAUGCACAUUCUGACCCCACAUCAGCAGCCGCACUCCCAGAUCCUUCACCAUCACCUGCAGCAGGAUGGCCAGGUAAUAGCCCUUCUCCCUCUCUCCUUUCCCUUCCUCUUCCUUCCUGUCCCUUUAAACUGCCUCCCCUUUCCUUUUCUUACCCUUCCUCACCACCACCUUCACCCAAUCCUCCCCAGCGCCAGCCAGGGGCACACAGCACAUACAGACACAAGCGCACAUAACACAAGCGGCCGGCAAAAGAAAUGUCAGAGAAGGGGCAAGAUCAAAACCCUUUUUGCCCAUUUCCUUUGGUGUCUUUUUUUCCUCCACCUCCUCCCAUGGCACAGUUGUCCUCAUCCCAUCAGACCUGGGUCACACCUUCCCUUUUACCUCUCCCAGCCUUUCCCCUUUCCUGACAUUAUAGCUUUCCCUUCUAAUGGUGGAGUUCUAUUGUCAAAGUUUGUCCCUUUAUUUUCCAUAUAUCCUGGUUCUGCCUCAGCUACCAUAUUUGCAGAUGAUUCUCUGUUGCCAGCGCCAGCAGGAGGAGCAGGUAAUGAAACUGAAUGAUGAUAUGCUUGAACCCACUCCUUUUCAGACCCCAUUUCACCUCCAAAGCCUCAGGGAACUUGAAAAGAUUGCGCGGUCACACAUCGGGAUACACAAACACAAAACACCUUGCUGAGCUCUCUGGCCUCCCUAUCCUCUGUUCUCCUUCCCUCCUCAAUACCCUCUUGAUCUUUCUGUCCUUCCCCAACUCUGGAAAAACACUUGGUUACCAGAAUGAAAAAGAUUGGUGGGGCAGAAUCUGGAGCCUGAGGCUUCAGACUGUCUCUCCUUUCUUGCCUGAAACAGGCUCAUAGAUGUGAUGUGUGGUGGUGGAGAGAUCCACGGGGUGGUACAAGAGACCUCUUGAGAGCUCCAUCAUAGGUGGCUGGAGACCUAGAAUUAAGGGGUUCCCUGCUCUCAGCUUUUCAAGUUGAGGCAUUUAUGGGACUUAAUGAAAAUGGAAUUACCUUGUGGUCACUCAUCUCCCAGAACCAUAAUUCUCAUA
rnacentral:lncRNA from 1 species